GAUAAUGUGUACAAAAGGCUACCACAUUUAGUAUCUCUGAAAUAUUACUGAAUGUAUGUACAGAAAGUAUUCAUAAAGGAAUACUUGACUGUUGAAAGUAGGUUUGCAGGAGACCUAGGCAAAAAGAGGAGGCUGCUGCGGGCAAGAGAUAGAGCACUGUGUGCAAAGAGAUGAAGGCACCUGUGCUUGGUGCAUAAAAUAUGGGGUAUAAAAUAUGAGAUGGGGUUUGGAGGAAUAUGUGAUAGAGGGCAAAAGAAAAAGGAGUAUGCAGAACAUGAGAUGUGUCAUGCUAAGCAAUUUUAGCUUUUAGUUCAUAGGUAUGAGACAGGGUUCACUAAAGCAUUUUGGGCAAGUAAGAAACAUGAUUGGACCUUGCUUUAAAUCCUGGAAAAAGCAAUUUUUAUGGCUCUGCAUUCAUUAGGAUUUUUAAGUUGCAAGGAACAGAAGUUCCCUAGGAGAGUUUACUAUAAGAAUAAGCAGAAAAGCAAGAGAACUUUCUGCCAACAAUUAAACAGAUAAUAUGGAGAAAUACUGGGUGUGUUCUGUGACUUUGGGAAGAGCAAUUUCUCUAAUGUGGGGGCAGACACCUGAUUACAAAUGGAGGACUUAAUUGGUGAGGGAGAAAUAGAAAUGCUGGAAAACAACUACUUUUUCAAAAAGCUUGAGAAGAGAAGGAAGCUUCUAGGCCAACAUGUUGCUGAGAAUUGAUGCUUCGAAAAAACUUCUUUCCAACACAUAACAAUGAGGGGUAAAAUGUUAAACACACACAUAUACACACAAACACCACAACCGGACACAGAUCUGAGAUAGAUAUCUAUCUGGCAGAAACAAAGAGUGGUGAAUGGAGGCUGAAGUCACACUUUUUUGGGUUUUGUAGUUGUGACAAAUAAUAUAGCAGUGCUGGGCCAAGGUCAUUAAAAGCAGUCCUCUAAUAGUGGGGGCGGAUUUGAGUUCCACUUUCUGCUGAGAGCCACGAACAAGAUAGUGAAGGUCAGCUUGCUUGUUAGAGCUAAGAAUAUAUAGAAAUCAUAGGUUUAAGAAAGUACUGGGGAAAAAAAACAGUGUCAUUUUUAAGCUGCCUUCAUGUUUCAGCCUACAUUCAUCAUCUUCCAACUGCUCACAUAGGCAGUAACUUCUCACUGUGAUUAUACAAUUAGGCCUGUAUUGGAGAUUCAAAAUAUGCAGAAGCAAACACAAAACCCCCAGACCAAGAAGAAUGAGUAGUGUGGGUGUGUGUGUGUGUGUGUGUGUGUGUGUGUGUGUGUGUGUGUGUGUGAAGAUAAGACAGAGAAUCCAAGAGACAGAGAGAGAAAUGAACCAGCACACAAAAAUUCUAACACAUAUGAAGCAAAUCUGAUAAAUAAAAUCAAUUAAGAGCUUUUCUAUACGGUAUUUAUUUUAUAAAACAAUCUGACAAAGACUUUCUUAAAAUGUCAAGAUGUCAAUGAGAUAACUUUAGACGCAAUUUCCAAUUAAACAGAAGAGAAAAAUUGUUAAGCAAAAACAAACACUAACACAGCAAUAUUAGAGAUAGAUAGAUAGAUAAAUGGUUAGACAGAUAGAAUGCCAAUUAUAAAUCUUAGAAAUGAAAAAUAAAGUAAUGAAUCUGAAAAUGCAUUAGAUGGGACAAUUUCUAGACAAAUCAACCCAAGAAUUAAUGAGCUAAAGCAUAGAACUGAAGAAUUCUAGCAUAGGGACAAAGAUAAAUAGAAAAACACAGUUAAGAAUCUACACUGAACCCAACAUUACAAAACAGGAGCUUUUGAAAAAGAACAAAAAAAGAGAAUAGUAGAUAGAGAUGAAAUAUUUAAAGAAAUAAUCAUUGAGAAGUUUUCAGACUUACGGAAGGACUAGUUUCUCAGGUCGAAGGAACUCUAAGAAUCAAGGAAAUUAAAUAAAAAUAAAACUACACUUGAAAACAUUAUAAUAAUAGAGAGGUGGGGGGGAUCUUAAAAGGUAGCAGAGGAAAAAGUGAUUACUUUCAGGUAAUGACAGUAAGUCUUAACAGGAAUUUUUAUCAGCAUGAUAGAGGCCAGAAGAAACUAGGUAAAACCUUUAAGUAGGCAAGGGAAACAAAUGCCCAGACAUAAAAUUAUUGUGCCUAUGCAAUACUAAGAGCAAAAUAAAGAUAUUUUCAUAUGUACAAAGUCUACCCAUACACCCUUAUAUGUACAUAAUCCACACACAGUCACACUCAUAUACACUCACAAACACACUUGUACUCACACUAACACAUAGUACACACUGUUCUUAUUCAAGACAUAUUUUAGCUGGCAGACAGGUGAAUCUGUAAGAAGGGCAAGGAAUGUGAAAAACUGAUAAAAAUAUGUUAAAUUCAUUUGCUAUUGACUAUACAAAGUAAUUUUUAAACUUUUUUAAAACAUAAAGAAUCAAAAUUCCAAACAAAAUUAAUAAGGUGACAGGGGUCAAGAGAUAUCAAAUGAGUGAAUAAAGCCUAUCAGAGAUCUUAUAAUUGAGAAAAAAUAGAAAUAUCGUACAGCAAUAAACUUUGUAGAUAGUUUCAUAUUUAAAUAAUCAUACUUAAUAGUAAGUAUAAUUACUAAAAGAAAAAAAAUAGAUAUUCAAUCAAGAGCCAAAAAAGACUGAACUGAGAUGGACCACUAUCAUCCACAGCCCAGUUUCCUCUAGGUGGGCACGGGCUUUCUCAAGGACAAAGUGGUGGUUGGAUGGUCCUUAACUAAACACUGGGAUGCCCAUAGGGUGACAAGUAAAUGCUUUUAUCAGAAAAUAACAAGCUUCAAGAGAGUGAAUUUCUGUCUUCAUCAGUGAACAUAACCCUGCAACUUGGCCAUGGAUGGCUAUGAAUGAUACUGGAUUCUUUGCAAAGACUGUUACUAUACGUGCUGGAGAGUAAUAUUUUACAGUGUUUUUCAGGAGACAGGAAUUCCACUCCAGGCCCAAAGUUCACAGCUCCUUGGGAUGAGCUCUUAGGUUUUCUUUUAAAGCCAUCUAUCAGGGCCCAGGUCAGCUGCUAGAACACUAGGUCAGGAUCGGACCAACAUCUGACACUGUACUAAGAACAACUGUUCCCUCCCAUUCACCUGAAAAUCCACUUUAUCAGUGGAGUUAGGCCAAAAUGGGCUCUCCUAUCCCCAGACCCUCACAUCCACUGUCCUUUUAUUUCCCUUACUGGAGGCUACCCUCAAUGAUUCAGAGUGACAUUCUGUCCCUGCCUAUGCUGUGCUAGGGGGUCGUAGAGAGGGCUACACAGGACAGAGGAACACAAGCAAGUCCCUAGGUAGGUUCAGGGAACCCCUCCCUGGUGACACUGAUGGACCCAGCAGAUCCCAGGCACUGGAGGGAGACUUAGAACUUGUUGAGGAAUGUAUUCUCUUUUUUUUUUUUUUUUUUUUUUUUUUUUUUGUCCUUUUAAGGCCGCACCCACGGCAUACGGAGGGUCCCAGGCUAGGGGUCGAAUCAGAGCUGUUGCUGCCAGCCUACACCACAGCCACAGCAACAUGGGAUCCGAGCCACAUCUGAGACCUACACCACAGAUCACAGCAACACCAGAUCCUUUACCCUCUGAGCAAUGCCAGGGAUUGAAUCUGUGUCCUCAUGGAUGGUAGUCAGAUUCGUUUCUACUAAGCCAUGACGGGAACUCCGAGGAAUGUAUUCUAAACCAUGAGCUCUCUAAGGCACAGGGCCCCUCCUUCCCCGGGUCUGGGGUAUGCAAUGAGGACCAAGCUACAAGAAUAAUAUUUACAAAUGAAUCUGAUCCAAGUUCUGGAUUCUGGUUGGGCUGGAUGCCCCCAAGUUUCAGGUCUCAGGUUGACCAGAGCAGUAGUAGAUCUGUUCCUCCUUAAGCCUCAGAAGAUAUGAGCUGAUAAACAAAGCUAAGAGUUGGUUAUGAAAAAAGAAAGAGGACACUUCUCUGCCAAACUUACUGUUCUUAUUUUGCAUCAUCACAGGAUGUUGAUUAUUUCAGGAUUCACAUCCAAGACUCUAUUGAAUAUAAACUAAUUAUUACCUCAAUCACUGCUAUUUAUAGUUACUUUGCCUCCAAGAAAUUUAGAGGAAGAUUUAAUUAAGUAAGAAGGCUUGACAAGGCAAUGUAUUUCUGAGAAGUUGUAGCAUGCUACAAAUGGCGACAUGAGGGCAAAUGCCAAUGGUUUUAUCCUCAAAUGAACUGUAAUAACUUCCCCGAAGUGCUCCCUUUGGAACUUCCAAUUGUUAUAAAAUGGAAUUUAUAAUUAAAUGAAGAAAUGAACACAGUGUGCUGAACUAAAAUGGAAGUCUAGGAAACUCCAACUUUUUUUUCAGUAUAAAUAAACACAAAGAAGGGAAUAAAAGAGAACUAAUAUUAUCCUAAAGUGUGUUGAGGACUUUCAUAGAUAAGAUAGUGUAUUAGACAAUUAUACUUUCAGCAUUUAAGGUAGAACUCACAAUGGUACAAUGAAGAAUGUUCAUUAAAUAAGUGGGAGAUUAAAGUAUUAAGUACAAUGGCAAUGUAUGCCAGUAAGUGGAUUUAUUAAAGGGGGAUGUGGGGAUAAAUAACAGCAAAUACUUUCCGCAGCCUAAGGCCAGACAUUGGAAAACAUAUCCAGGAAAAACUUACUUAUUUAUAAUCGAGGCCUUAGGGAUGACUAUGACUCUUCCAGGUACACUGUCAACUUGUCCACCUUUGCUCCAGGUUCUGUAUGUUCUCUCAUGAUGACUCAAAUACAUCUUGCCCCUGUUUCUAUGUCACCUUUGAUAUAAUCCAAAUAACAUUUUCUAUGGGUUUUUAAUUUAAAAUCAAGGAAAAUUCAGGCACCAUUAUAACCUAUUUAAAAAGAAAUCUGGCAUCGGAAUCAGAAAAUUGCUGUAAUCCUGCUACUUGGCAUUAUUAUUUUUGAUAAACCAUGCUUCAGUUUUCCCAACUAAAAAAAAGUAUAUUACUCUCUACCAUGAAGAGCUGUUAUACACAUUAGGCAUAACUCUGCUAAAUUUUUGCCCAGUACUUGGUAAAAGGCAAGAUCACAAUGUAUGGUAUCACUUAUUUUUAUUAUCUUUUGGAUCUGCCAUUCUUGGUCAAGUAUCAUCUAGUACAAAGGGUGAGUAUACAUGCCUGGAUUAUUGGCCAACUGGGGGACCGAUGUAGGACUAUCAGUGGUGGUCAGAAUAGUAGGGUCCUGGGAUAAACUGUACUAGCAAUGGCUGUCUAGCUGGGCUACUUAACAAAGUUCUAGGUUUCAGAUGUUAUCCUAAAGUGGGCUGGCACAAUCAUAGUUUUGCUAGUUCACUGUAGCAUCUCCAAAAAGACAACUGGUGGCAGGCUUGACCAGCUACAAUGAUUUCUUUGUAGAGAAUCUCAUCAGUGCAUAUGGUCCAAAGUUAGCAUAAUAGUUCACAAUUAAAUGUUUUACUGUAAAUCUUCCAACAAUUUUCUUUCUCUUUUGAAGAGAAAUUAUUAAUGGACUAAGUCCCACAAAUGAAAGAAUACCUCUUUGCUAAGUUUGAAACCCACUCCAAACUGACAAAUCGGAGCUUUGAAGGCUAAAUAAAAUGUUUUUGGAUUUUGCUAUCAUUUACCCAUAACCAAACCUAAUUUCCUAUUUUGGUGGAGAAAAUUAACACUAACCCUCAUUUGAAAAUCCCCAAAGAUUUUUUCAGAUACCGCAAGUCAUUUUCAGACCAAAAGCUGGAAGAACAAGCAUAAAUAAAUCAAGACAUGUGGGAUUUGUUUCCUUUUAAAAAUGUGCAUUAAUUUUUUUAAAAGUUCAGGCAAAGUCCAUUUGAAAACUUCUAAGAGUUGUACCAAGCCAAAGACGUGUGUACCUCAUCGGAUUGUGGUGAGGGGGUCCUGAUUUCUAGUGAGCACAUAUGCACACAAUACUGUAACUGUACUUAUUGCCUUUAAAAGAUAUAUUAAGGAAUGAGGGUAAUCCAAAAGCCUUUAGAGACCUAGGGUAGUACAAGAAAUCCCCAAAUAUUUCCAAAUCAGUUAGAAAGGACAAUUCACCUAGGGUGAAACCUAGGUUAUCUGAAUGGUAUGAUAACCUCCAACCUCUCACUUCCUCUCCUCUGUACUUAGCAAUAAAAUAGGAGACAUUCCCCAGAGCUGUACUCUGCAAUAGAACUGUCUGCAACAAUGUACAUGUUUUUCAUUCUGUGAUGUCUAGUACAGCAGCCACUAGCUACGUGUGGCUACUGAGUAACUAAAAGAUGGCUGGGCCUGAGAAAAUGAAUUUUUUAUUUAGUUUUAAUUAAAUUUAAUUUAAACUUACACAAUUUCAUGUGGCUAGUGGCUACUGUAAUGAACAGUACAGCUCUGUGGAACAGGAAUAUACUCAUCUUUGAAUAAAUCUCUAUAAUAAUAAAAUGAAUUAAUGAAGAUUUCUAGAUGGAAAUUUGAUUAAACAGAUGUUUGAUAAGCCCUUAAUGUUUAAUGUUGGAACAAAAUGUUCAUGCAUUUAAACUAUGUCACUUGUCCUCAAAUAUUUGUUUUUUCCACUCCAAUUAACAGAAAGUGCCCACAGCUAUAUUUCAUUUUUAACAGAAUUUCUCUCCAACUUCGAGUACAUGGAUCUUGCCUGCCCACACUUGAAAAAUAGAGAUGCAUGGAAUGUUACAGCCAGAUGGGGCCUUAAGGAACCUAUUCUAGUGGCCCUAAACUAUGUCCCCACAAUGGCUAAGCCAAGAUUUCCCAACAUAAAAUUGAUAGUGCAGUAUAUUUUUCCAAUUUUUAAAAACAGAAAGUUAAUAGAAAAUUUUUUUCAAUUAAAUUUUUUCUCACAUAAAUUUCUCUGAAGAUGUUGGCACUGCAGUAACUUAUCACAGACAUCAAAAAUCAAUAAGCAAGAAGCAAACAAGGUGCAAACAAGAAGCACCCAGAAAUGUUUAUUGUAAUAACUUGAUUUAUUGUGCACAAAUGGUGAUUAUCAUGUGAUUAUAUUUUGCCUCUAUCUAACCUUAUUUUCCAUUAGUAAAAUUUCUCCUAGUUCAUCUGAAAAUUGAAGAUCAUGCAUACACAGUACUCCACUAAAAAUGAAUAUGUGGAAAACAGAAUUCCAACUGCAGGUUCUAAUGUUAAACAAGUUUGAGAACUUCUGAUCUAGUCUAGCUCCAUAAUUCCACAGAUUUACCAACUUAAUACCCAAGAGAAAUGACUUGUCCAAAGUCACAUAAGUUAGUGACAAAAAUUGAUACUUGACAAAUCUGUUCUGUUUAUUCUUCUUCCCUUCUUUCAACUCUCAAGGAUUCAAUCCAUUUAAAAAAUUCUCAACAUUUACUUUAUUAUGUG
rnacentral:lncRNA from 1 species